rnacentral:lncRNA from 1 species
AAGAUCAUAUGUGAGGAUGAUGGUCAUUUAACAGGUGGCAGCAAUGUGGGUAGAGGAAGACUCAACUCCUUCCUACAACACAGGGCAGAAAUUAAUACUUAUAAAGGUAAACUUGACUUAAAAAAGAAAAUAUUAUGGUGAAUCUACUCUGAUUAUGAAGAAUGGAGAAAUGUGGUAUAUGUUUCAGACCAGAUAGAUUUCUAUCAGAAGUAUUUUUAAAAAUAUUUACGUUAGGGUGCUUAAAUAUAUAACCUUCUAUGAUCUAGAACACUGACAAAUAUGUAUAACCCUUCUCCAGCAAUCCUGAAUAGUGUAUAUAGUACACAACUGCCCCAUUUUAGUAUUGCAUUGCAAAAGAACAAACACAACAUUUUUAAAUACUUUUAGUUCACAUUUUUUAAUGUUUAAAAACUAUGUUAACAGAGCAGUUAUAGAACAGAACUUCUUAUAUUUCUUUAUUUACACCACACUCUGAAAAAAAAAACCCAGUUCUAUUUGAUUAACUAUGAAUAGCAAAGUUUUGUGACUUGUGACUCACUUAAAUCACCCAUCUGAAAUUCAUUUACAAGGUUUUUACAUUAAUAAAACAGUAGUGUGGUACAUGUAUUGGACUCAGAUGAAGUCUAAAGUACACUGGACUCUAGAGAGUGGAUUACAUACCAACGACCAAGAUUCAAGUGUUUGGGGAAAAAAAUACCUUAGACAGUCUAUGUUGGCGUCAACACUAAAAUAAAAGGCAAACAUGCAGGACUUUCAAAGCUUGAUUAGAUAAUGGUUCUUUGUUUUCUUUCCUUCAAAUUUGUGCUCAUAAUUAAUAUUCAGGUUCCCUCUCCCCGCUUUCAUAGAUCCCAAAGUUUGAGAAAUGCAGCAAUUCAAUUGUGAAAAAAACAUUCUUCUCCCCAGCUUCUGUUUUCAUAUGUACUGUGUAGUGGUAUCAGUGUUAAAAAUGGAAGAUCAUUAUGAAGAAACAAUUUGUCAUUUGGGUAUAUCUGUUUCUAUAGGACAAGGAUUUGUGUCUAAAUAUUCCUUACUUGUAUCUCAGAGGACUAUCUGUUAAAUAAUUGAUCUUAAUGCCAGCAUAAGAAAUCAAGGGAACUAUUUCUCAGACAUUUCUUUCUCUAAAUUAAGUAGGGUUUCAGGUUCCAAGUUUACAUUGAGAGAACUAUGUUACCUGGGAGAGAAUGUAAAUUUUUCUAAUUCCCAAACAAAACCACUAAUUUCUAGGAAACAUUUAUUGUUUAUAUGCAGAUCCUAGAGACUUCUAUUUCAGUGCAGAUCAACAACUUCAAAAAUAUACAGCCUCCUAUUUAUUUACAAUAAUAUUUACAUACAAAUGAAGUAUUUCCUGCAAUAAGCCUCAGCUGCAUAGAUUCUUCCUUUAAAAACGUAAAUUUGAGCCUGUAUACAGAUGGGCCCAGUUUCAUAGCCCUUCCUUAGAUAAAAGCCUAAAGAAGGAAAAUGUCUGCACCUUGUGAACUUUACAUAUUUUGCAAGAACUUUCUCUUUGAGAUUUAGUGAUAGUUUUUAGUUGUUAGACACCCCACCUUCAGCUUGUACCUGAAAGCUUUAUCUCGUUAUAAAUAAUUCACUGUAAUUUAGGGGAAGUAUGUCCUGUUGCUAAAGGAUUCUCAAACCUGCCAUCCCCAAGGAAAAUCAUGUAUUAGUAUUGCUAAAUGAUGGUCUGUAUAUUCUUUGUUUUGAAGGUGGCUAGAUGUUUGCUGUAAACUUGAAUGGGAGAAUUAUAUUCUUAAAGUUUACACCCCCUAUAAGCCUAAAGCCAUUUAAAUUGAUAAACUGAGAGAGACUAAUAGAUUUUGCUCUAAGGUAUAAAAUCCAUUAUCUGAUCAAAUUCAGUAUUUCUUCUAAGUCUGCAUUUACAAAGGGUCUUUUAUUUUAAUUUCUUUCACAACUGCCUCGCCCCAACCAAAGCCUCACUUUCAUUUCCUCACAGCUUUAAAAAAUAAAAUAUUAUCAUGCCUCAGCCCGAGGUAACACCGAGUGCAGGCAGCCUGUGUUUAGGAAUUUGCACCUGCGCUGCUAUUUUCAACGAGAAGGGGAUAACCAGGUGGCAGCGCUGGAUUCACUCACUUUCUUGCCAUUGCAGAGACCCCUGCCGCCAGGCUCCUUUCCUCCCCUCCCUAAAGCCUGGCUCCUGUAUGUUGCACCAUGAGUCCUAGGAAUCAUCUGGUGAGGGAGGACUAAUGGGAAGUAAAAGGGAGACUCAUUGGCUUAGGGUGGUUCUCAAACUUGAUGCGCUUUAGAAUCAUUUGCUGAGUCCCUCCCUGAGAGCUUCUGACUUCACCAUGUCUGGGAGGGGGCUGAGAAUCUGCAUUCUAAUGAGGUCCCCGAUGAUGCUGAUGCUACUGGUCUAGGGGCCACACUUUGAGAACCACUGGCUUAGAGGCAUGAAUCAAGCUCUAGAAAGCAGUCAGUUCCAGGGUAAUAGUCUUAGGUGCUCGCCGAAGCACUGAGGAAUCUUACCACAACCCUGUGUCCACCACAAGCCCUAUCACCAUCACCCAUCUGGGUGCUUCUUUUUCUCAACAGGGUCUGUAACUGUAAAAAAGGAAAGUGGGUGGAGAGGUUUUUUUUUCCCCCUUUUUUCUUGUUUUCUAACCUCCCAGCUUAUUCCUGGAGAGUUAAAACACAGUUACUAGCACUAAAAACAUUAAAAGUGCUGCGCGCUGGCCUCAAUGACUGGUACAUUGGAGAAGCUAUGCAGCAGCAUCCUUUUCUGUGGUGGGCAGGGCAGGAGAUGAACCAUAGGAGCCAAAAGUCAGACAAACAGAAGAAGGCACACCAAGCCUGAACCCUCCGGACAACAGCAGAGUUACCAGCUGAGGGAUGUCCCUGGAGGUUUCUGACCCAUGAGAGGCCCCCUCACCCUCCUUCACCCUCCUCCUACCACCAAGCUCUCCAGCAGUCAUGGACUUAUUCCUCCCCGUUUUUACUGGACACCAUGUUUCAGGCCAAUCUGGUCACCUGUAGUCUGGUGGCAUCUCUACCCCUACUGUCCAGUAGGUGGGAUGUGGCUGGGAUGGACAGUCCAGAUUCUACUAACAGGCAACUCUGAACAAACACCCUCCCUGGAAACAAUAUUAUAUUUGAUGGUUAGAUUCUUUAGCAAACCUAUUACAUUAUUCGAUGUCAGCUAACCUAUUGGUUUGAUCAUCUUUUCCAGCUGCUCUAGGGGCCUAACCACCAUGGAUAACCUGGUCUCUAAAGGAAAAUACAUUCCAGGUUGCAAACAACCAACUGACAACCUUUUGGAAUAUGAUCUCCUUAUACACUGGGGCUGCCUGUGCCUAAACACAGUAGAUUUCCCUCCUGUGCGUAUUUCAUCAGCCCCACUUCCAAUAAGUAACAUUAAGUAAAUUAGGGAUUGACAGUAUUCUGUGUUACAAUAACUAGAGAACAGUUCUAAGUCCAAAGUGUGGAACUGGCACUGUUCACUAGUAUAGAGAUCCUACCUACCAAAGGAAAACGUGCUGCUCCCCAUGCCUAGGGUAUAGUAUUCUUUAAUCUACUAAUUUAGCAGAAAAACUUCCAUAGCACUUGACUGUGCUGUUUAAAUUCGACCUAACAUCUGUGAUACAUGUAUUUUUGGCUACCAAUUAACUAUUCUGAAUAAGAAUAAGAGCAGUAUACUUUACAGCUAAUCUCACACAAAGGAUGUAACUAAUCAGUGAUAUUUGACGAAUUAUGGUAGGGUCUAUUAUAUUCAGUCAACAACAAAUUUAGAGAAACAUACAAAGGUUUUUAAAAAUAUGGGUGGUGUCACACAGAUCAACAACACUGUGCCUCCUCUAAAUAAAUCUAUUUUAAAUAAAUAUUCCUUGUAUUGACACAUGAAACCCAGAGGCCCAAAAAUAUCACUACACAUCCCAGUUAAUGAUAAGGUUCUAAAUUGACUUUGUGAGGGUAAAAUGAAUUGCUAUAAAGUAACAAGGAAAAUAGAAAGUAGCAUAAUAUAGCUUGCAAACUAAAUUAUGUAUUUUUAAAGGUACAGUCAUCCCACUACCUGGCUAUUUCAUUACUUGGUGCUCUAGACAAGCUCCCAAGAACUGACUGGAUCUUGGCUUGUUCUGUUUCUGUCAUUGCUAAUAUAAUAUGGAAAACAUUGCUGAAAAGAACAGAGAUGGCCAUGGAUAUGGCUAGGUUAGGUAUUCAUAUCCAAAUAUCUGAACUCUAACCUAAUGUGGAUAUGAUUCUGUAGCAUUAUAUUAAAAGCUAUGAUGAUGCAAUGCAGGAAAUAACCUUUCAUUCUCCCCCCUAGAGGAUCACGACAGGUGCUUCAAUGCCUGCCUUAUCUAUGGGACAGUAGUGUGAUUCUCAGUGAGAGUGAAGGCCUUUGGGGAUUUGAGUCAGGAAGGGAACAUGGCUAAGUGCCUGGAAACUCUGCCAACAGUCUGCGGUUAGAUUCUACUUGUCUCUGGAUAAGAAAUCUGUGCUCAGUGAACUUAUGUGUUUGGAAAAUUUAACCAGAAUAUAGAGGAAGCAUAAGUCCUGUUUCAAGAGACCAGCUCACGGAGCAUGCACAUUUCUCACCAUAGGCAAGCUAUGGACAAUUCAAUCACAUGGGAUGGCCCCACUUAGGGGAAUGCAGUUCUGGGUUUCCUUGCUAUCCCUAUUCUUUUUCAGCUACAAACUCUCUUCUUUUUCAGUCUCUUCAGUUUCCUUGUGCUCCCUUUAGGAGAGGGACAAGGGUAAGAGUACCAGGCAACUCUGUCCUCCUGCAUGGACAGUUGAGACGGGCAGUAAUGGCACAGUCCUUGGUUGGGGAAGAGAAGAGGAGACAGCACAGACACUGAGACCCCCUUGUCUUCCUCAUCUGGGGGAAGGAAGGUACUCAGUGAUUCUGUCAGAAGCUCUUCACAAAGACUAUCUCUGAGGGUUUUUUUUUUUUUUUUUUCACAAGACUAGAUGGAGAAUUAAUGAAGAAGAAAUAGAAAUGAGGCUUAUUUAAGGUACAAAAUUCUUGUAUUUGUAAUAACCUAGAUUUAUAGAUAUAAAACAAGUCUUUUAAAGACUUCCCUAAAAUACUCAAUAUAAAACAGGAGUUACUUAUCCU